UGGAAAUCUAGAUCGGGAGGC
rnacentral:miRNA from 1 species